AUCCAUGAUCUCAGAAGUAUCAAUGAGGACUUGCUCCAACAUGCCUGCAAUGGAGGUAUCUCUUCUUUGAGUUUGGGGAACGAGAAGGGACGAAGAUGAGAGUCGCCGGCCAUCCAGCGGCCUCCGUGGCCUGCCUCGACUGUCCUGGGCCGACCUUGGAGUCUGAAGUGGGAAUACAAACGACCUCAAAUCACCUCUCACGAGGGUGUCAUUUGGGCGGCCUUUGCUUUCUGAUGCAGCCUUUGAUCUGCCCAGGCCUGAAGGUCAGGAAGCUCCAUUCCCUUUUCCAGAAGACAUUCUGUUGUUUCCUGGCCCCCUUUUUUUCAGGCUGACAGAAAGAGGCACUUUGUUCUUUCUAGCAUGCCACUUCGGACUGGAAAAGGGGCCUUGGGGAACAAAGAGGGCACUGGACAGGCACAGAGGGACGAAGCCUGGCUGCCACCUGGGCACUUGGGAUCGGAUCGGAUCGGAUCGGAUUCACAGAAGUGCCUGGCCAAGCUCCCAGCCUGGGGGUCCGGCUGUGGAAAUCUAAGCCCUGGGAGAGCCUGUCCAAUUCUCACAUUAACAGCUUCUAGGAGAGAGCCAAGGCUGGACUCAUUGUCACCCCCGCCCCUGGCACCAGGGCAUCCCCUUCACACACACAUUCACUUUGCAGCUCUGUUUCCCUCUGCCCCGUACACGUCCCCAUCCUCAUUAUCCAGCCAGCUGAGGCUCAGGGACAAAGAGCCUGGAAACUUUGCUUCCCCCCCUUCCAUUCUCACCUCCUCCGCCUUUCUGCAAAACUGUCCUGACAGAUCAUAUCCACAGUGGAAGGCAUCUUUCGCCUGCAGGGUUAGCUGAGGGUCCUGCAAUAGAUGGGUCCCAAUUUUUUGUUUGGGGUUUCCCCAGGAAAUAAUAAAAGCCCCUCUCCUCUGUAUUAAAUCA
rnacentral:lncRNA from 1 species